rnacentral:sRNA from 1 species
GUAUCUGAAGUCUGACGAGGAUGAGAACCUCCGGGGGCAAGAGGUUCGACCCGAGCGAAGCGAGAGAACGUUGCGAGCAACGGCCCGCAGUGGCAAGUCAUCCUCUGUCACCGGCAG